AGCGUUGUUCGGAAUUACUGGGCGUAAAGGGCGCGUAGGCGGCCUGCUAAGUCACACGUGAAAUCCCUCGGCUCAACCGGGGAACUGCGUGUGAUACUGGCGGGCUCGAAUUCGGGAGAGGGAUGUGGAAUUCCAGGUGUAGCGGUGAAAUGCGUAGAUAUCUGGAGGAACACCGGUGGCGAAGGCGGCAUCCUGGACCGAGAUUGACGCUGAUGCGCGAAAGCUAGGGGAGCAAACGGG
rnacentral:rRNA from 1 species